rnacentral:rRNA from 1 species
AGUGAACGCUGGCGGUAGGCCUAACACAUGCAAGUCGAACGGCAGCACAGUAAGAGCUUGCUCUUACGGGUGGCGAGUGGCGGACGGGUGAGGAAUACAUCGGAAUCUACUUUUUCGUGGGGGAUAACGUAGGGAAACUUACGCUAAUACCGCAUACGACCUACGGGUGAAAGCAGGGGAUCUUCGGACCUUGCGCGAUUGAAUGAGCCGAUGUCGGAUUAGCUAGUUGGCGGGGUAAAGGCCCACCAAGGCGACGAUCCGUAGCUGGUCUGAGAGGAUGAUGAGGGCCAAUGGAACAGAGACACGGGCCCGAGUCCCCCGGGGGGGCGGAGGGGGGAAUAUUGGGCAAUGGGGGGAAGGCUGGUCCAGCCAUACCGCGUGGGUGAAGAAGGCCUUCGGGUUGUAAAGCCCUUUUGUUGGGAAAGAAAAGCAGCAGGUUAAUACCCCGCUGUUCUGACGGUACCCAAAGAAUAAGCACCGGCUAACUUCGUG